rnacentral:piRNA from 1 species
UGCUAACAGAAUUUGCCCAAACAUGGUC